rnacentral:rRNA from 1 species
AUUGAACGCUGGCGGCAGGCCUAACACAUGCAAGUCGAGCGGUAGCACAAGAGAGCUUGCUCUCUGGGUGACGAGCGGCGGACGGGUGAGUAAUGUCUGGGAAACUGCCUGAUGGAGGGGGAUAACUACUGGAAACGGUAGCUAAUACCGCAUGAUGUCUUCGGACCAAAGUGGGGGACCUUCGGGCCUCACGCCAUCAGAUGUGCCCAGAUGGGAUUAGCUAGUAGGUGGGGUAAUGGCUCACCUAGGCGACGAUCUCUAGCUGGUCUGAGAGGAUGACCAGCCACACUGGAACUGAGACACGGUCCAGACUCCUACGGGAGGCAGCAGUGGGGAAUAUUGCACAAUGGGCGCAAGCCUGAUGCAGCCAUGCCGCGUGUAUGAAGAAGGCCUUCGGGUUGUAAAGUACUUUCAGCGAGGAGGAAGGCAUUGUGGUUAAUAACCACAGUGAUUGACGUUACUCGCAGAAGAAGCACCGGCUAACUCCGUGCCAGCAGCCGCGGUAAUACGGAGGGUGCAAGCGUUAAUCGGAAUUACUGGGCGUAAAGCGCACGCAGGCGGUUGAUUAAGUCAGAUGUGAAAUCCCCGAGCUUAACUUGGGAACUGCAUUUGAAACUGGUCAGCUAGAGUCUUGUAGAGGGGGGUAGAAUUCCAGGUGUAGCGGUGAAAUGCGUAGAGAUCUGGAGGAAUACCGGUGGCGAAGGCGGCCCCCUGGACAAAGACUGACGCUCAGGUGCGAAAGCGUGGGGGAGCAAACAGGAUUAGAUACCCUGGUAGUCCACGCUGUAAACGAUGUCGACUUGGAGGUUGUGCCCUUGAGGCGUGGCUUCCGGAGCUAACGCGUUAAGUCGACCGCCUGGGGAGUACGGCCGCAAGGUUAAAACUCAAAUGAAUUGACGGGGGCCCGCACAAGCGGUGGAGCAUGUGGUUUAAUUCGAUGCAACGCGAAGAACCUUACCUACUCUUGACAUCCAGAGAAUUUAGCAGAGAUGCUUUAGUGCCUUCGGGAACUCUGAGACAGGUGCUGCAUGGCUGUCGUCAGCUCGUGUUGUGAAAUGUUGGGUUAAGUCCCGCAACGAGCGCAACCCUUAUCCUUUGUUGCCAGCACGUAAUGGUGGGAACUCAAAGGAGACUGCCGGUGAUAAACCGGAGGAAGGUGGGGAUGACGUCAAGUCAUCAUGGCCCUUACGAGCAGGGCUACACACGCGCUACAAUGGCAUAUACAAAGAGAAGCGAACUCGCGAGAGCAAGCGGACCUCAUAAAGUAUGUCGUAGUCCGGAUUGGAGUCUGCAACUCGACUCCAUGAAGUCGGAAUCGCUAGUAAUCGUAGAUCAGAAUGCUACGGUGAAUACGUUCCCGGGCCUUGUACACACCGCCCGUCACACCAUGAGAGUGGGUUGCAAAAGAAGUAGGUAGCUUAACCUUCGGGAGGGCGCUUACCACUUUGUGAUUCAUGACUGGGGU